ACAACAACACUCGAAAUGGUUAAUUAGUUUCUUGAUUUUUUCAAAAUUCAUUUUAGAAGAAGUGGUCAUCCUCGUACCGAGUGUAAUUUGUAGCGUAUAUCUCAUUUCUUCCUAUAAAUAGAGGACAAUUUUAGUACUUGAUCAUCCAUAUCUAAAUCAUAGCGAAAGUAAGAUUUAUAGUAUCAAACUAAAGGAAGAAGUUCUAUCGAAUAUAAACAGAAAUCAUGGCCAAGAUGAGUAUCUUCUUUUGCUUCUUCUUAUUCGUCUUGAUUGCCAUGCCUUCAGCCUCUUCUGCGAGCAGGAGGCUACUCCGAUCGGAAACGUGCCCAAGAGUACCUACGUCGCCAUCGUCAUGCCAAGGAAUUGUGUGCCCACGACAAGUUAUUUGCAUAGCAAGUCUGCUAAUCUGCCCAGACGAUCAGUAUGCUUUCAAGCCAUGCUGCAGCUGCCAAAGAUGUUGUCCUCUUUAAAUUACCUAAUCGGACACUGUUUGUACUGCGGUUUUACUGUACCUUGGUAAUUGUUGUGUGUGUGGAUGGAUUUUUACUGUAAUAAUCGGUGUGUGUGGAUGGUGUGGUGUUUGAUUAAUUUGAUGUAGUUUUGAUUAAUUUGAUGUAAUUUACUAUGUAUAUGCCCAUGUUUGUAGUUUCUCUACCAUAAAUUUGAAGUGCCUUGCCUGUUUUUGUUGGAAA